rnacentral:lncRNA from 1 species
UUUCCGCUACCCCAAUUUUACCAAUUUUUUUCCAGAACUGCUGUUGGUUUCUUUUUGAUUCCAACAACAAGUCCUGCUGCAUACUAAACCAAUACUUUCGCUUACAUUUUUGAACCUCCCUGUCAAAAUAUUUUCUCUUCUGUACAUAAACCGACUUCAAUUCAGAAGCACGUGAACUAUUAUUAAAUUUAUUCCACGUUUUUUCGGCCUUGCACAUAUCAACCCAUAACUUGUUUAAAUCAUCAUUCCACCAAGGUUUCUUGAUUCU